rnacentral:rRNA from 1 species
GAUGAACGCUGGCGGCGUGCCUAAUACAUGCCAGUCGAGCGAACGGACGAGAAGCUUGCGUCUCUGAUGUUAGCGGCGGACGGGUGAGUAACACGUGGAUAACCUACCUAUAUGACUGGGAUAACUUCGGGAAACCGGAGCUAAUACUGCAUAAUAUUUUGAACCGCAUGGAUCAAAAGUGAAAGACGGUCUUGCCGUCACUUAUAGAUGGAGCCGCGCUGCAUUAGCUAGUUGGUAAGGUAACGGCUUACCAAGGCAACGAUGCAUAGCCGAACUGAGAGGGUGAUCGGCCACACUGGAACUGAGACACGGUCCAGACUCCUACGGGAGGCAGCAGUGGGGAAUCUUCCGCAAUGGGCGAAAGCCUGACGGAGCAACGCCGCGUGAGUGAUGAAGGUCUUCGGAUCGUAAAACUCUGUUAUUAGGAAAGAACAGCUGUGUAAGUAACUGUGCACAUCUUGACGGUACCUAAUGAGAAAGCCCCGGCUAACUACGUG